rnacentral:rRNA from 1 species
GCUUAACACAUGCAAGUCGAGCGAGAAUCGUUUUGCUGAAGGCUUCGGUCUGACGCAGAAUGAGGUAAGCGGCGAACGGGUGAGUAACGCGUGGGCAACCUGGCCUUAAGAAAAGGAUAGCCCCCGGAAACGGGGAGUAAUACUUUAUGAGAAUGAGAGAGGGCAUCCUACUUUCAUUCAAAGCGCAAGCGCUUAAGGAUGGGCCCGCGUAUCAUUAGCUAGUUGGUGAGAUAACAGCCCACCAAGGCAACGAUGAUUAGCCGGUGUGAGAGGGCGAACGGCCACAUUGGAACUGAGAGACGGUCCAAACUCCUACGGGAGGCAGCAGUGGGGAAUAUUGCGCAAUGGAGAAGAACUCUGACGCAGCAAUACCGCGUGAGCGAAGAAGGUCUUCGGAUCGUAAAGCUUUGUUAUCAGGGAAGAAGAAAAUGACGGUACCUGAUGAGCAAGUCCCGGCUAACUACGUGCCAGCCGCCGCAGUAACAC